rnacentral:misc_RNA from 1 species
CAUUAUCUUCUAAGCUCUACA